UACGGAGGGUGCAAGCGUUGUCCGGAUUUAUUGGGCGUAAAGAGCUCGUAGGUGGCUUGUCACGUCGGGUGUGAAAGCUUGGGGCUUAACUCCAGGUCUGCAUUCGAUACGGGCUGGCUAGAGGUAGGUAGGGGAGAACGGAAUUCCUGGUGUAGCGGUGAAAUGCGCAGAUAUCAGGAGGAACACCGGUGGCGAAGGCGGUUCUCUGGGCCUUACCUGACGCUGAGGAGCGAAAGCGUGGGGAGCGAACAGG
rnacentral:rRNA from 1 species